ACGUGUCUGGCCUCAUUAGUUUUAUUCUUUAAAUCCACUUGCAAGGUCUCAGCUGCACCACUGAGUUGGGGACUGUUUCGUGGCUGUGAGUCAGAAAAGACCACGGACAAGUGCAAACCGCCGGCCGCAGCCUCGAGGAGAGCGUCGAGCGCUUGCAGAGGACAGCAAGGUAGGUGUGCAGGUGGCCCCUGCGCCCCGGGCCCCACGGGCCGGCACCUAGCCUGUGACAAAGGGCAGGCUCGGGCUCGGUGCUGCCACCACGGGGGAGCGAACCGGCAGGCAGAUCCCGAGCGCGGGUCACCAGGCCCCAGGGAGACGAUCGGGGACAGGCUCCGCGCUGCAGGCGCCCCCGUGCCCGGCGCCCGUGCUGUCCCAGCGGCCACGCUUCCCCCUGCACCCCAGGGCCCGCACCCCGUCAGGGGACGCCAGCCCCCUCGGGCGCCAGGCAGUGCGGUGACCGCGGUGACCUUGGCAGCCCCGAGCGUCUGGCCCAGACUCCGAGCUCAGGUGGGCCUCGUAGGCCUGCAGCCCAGCGACCUCCUACGGCACCAGAGGCCCGGCCUCCCCUCUUCCGUCCCGGCCUGGCCCCCCCUAUCCCCCCCAGCCCCCCUGCACCCCCCCCCCCACACUCGCAGGAGGACGCUCCGCCCCGGCCUCGGCUCGGUCUUCCCGGCCACGAGGCCUGUUCACAGGCCAACUCUCCUGGGCCGUAACCGGCCAACCCCAAGCCACAGAAAAAGACCAAACUCUGUCCUUGCGCCUCUAGGUUACGGUGCCCGUAAUUCAUCUAAAAUCGGGAGGAUGGGGGCGCCCGGGGGCUCAGCGGUGGAGCGUCUGCCCUCGGCCCAGUGACCCGGGGGUCCCGGGAUCGAGUCCCGCGUCGGGCUCCCCGCAGGGAGCCUGCUUCUCUCGGCCUGGGUCUAGGCCUCCCUCUCUGGGUCUCUCAGGAAUAAAUAAAAUCUUUAAAAAAAAUUGGGAGUUAAACACCUCAGCACACUUCCGACUCCCACCCUUUGCUCUAACUUCCCCGUAGCACGUGCGCCCUCCCUGCCCCCCCCACCCGGACCGUGAACCUGCCCGAGGGACGGCUCCCGCGCGCUGCGUCCGUUUCCGGAUCCGCGGGGCCUCGCUCGCCGCCUGCACGUGGGACUCAAUAAAUGUUGAAUAAACAAACGGUGAAUCCAUAGCGGGUUUUUCCUUCCUUCCCUCUGGAGCCUGCCACGCCCUCUCCCGCCACGACAGUGUUUUCCCUUUGGCUUAACAGGUAAGGGACGGGGCGCCGGGUGGCCCGGGGCUGUGGCUGCCGUCGGCUCAGGGCACGAUCCGGGGUCCUGGGUCGCAGCCCCGGGUCGGGCUCCCUGCUCUGCGGGCCCUGCUGGUCUUCCUCUCCCUCUGCCCUCCCACCACUCGCGCUGUCUCUGUCAGAUAAAUGCAUAAAAUCUUAAAAAAAAAAUUAAGAAAAACAAACAAGCAAAAAAAAACCAGUGAAGGGAUCAGCUGACCACAUACUUCCCAUCGGCCCUGGAGGGGAACUUCGGUCCCGGGGCAGCGGCACGGGCCCCCGACAGCUCUGUCUGCUCCAGCCUUCUGGGGGCACCAUCCUUGGACCUCCCAACCCCAUCUCACCUUCCUCCAAAUCCACGCACGCGAUGCCUGUAUCACCCGCCACAGUCUGGCACUUUCGGCCUUGGGCUGAUGAUACAAUUUUCCUGGACGCGACCACAACAGGAAAGCCAACAAUGAGACCAGGACAGCAUUUCCUUGGAAAGCUGGCUUCCCGGCCCUGCGCCCCUGCCGCCCGCCGGCCCCACAGGCCCACAGGCCCCGGUGAGGCAGAGCUUACCCCGUGAAUCAGAGCAAGGACCCGGACCGGACCCGAGCCCUGCACCCUCAGGCUGGCCCAUCGUCCCACCGCAAGGGGACCCACCUCUCAAACCUCCGUUAACUAAGCCCGCGCGGAGGCCGAGGGCCAUACAGACAAAAGGCAGCGGGUGUGUGGGUUCCCACGAAGGGCAGCAGACGCUCAAGGGACUGGACCCCUUUAACCGCCCUGACUGGCUCGUCUCUUCCUCAGGUCUCGAUUGCUCGCUAAAUGUGGAACCUGGAGGGAAAGUACGGAACCGAGGUCGCCGCUCUCUUAGGGCACGGCCGCUGUUCCCCCCUUCCAGAACCGUCUGACCAAGGGAAUUACGGGGCCCAAGUCCCGAGUCAAGGCCUUCGGGUGCUGGGCCUUGCUUCUGUGCCCCAAGGAUGGCCCGGCCCUGGUGUUCAGGUCUCCAAAACGCAAUCCAUCAGACCUAACCUAAAUGGUUUUUAAGAUUUUAUUUACUUAUUCAUGAGACACACAGAGAGAGAGAGAGAGAGACACACACACACACACACACAGGCAGAGGGAGGAGCAGGCUCCCUGUGGGGAGCCCGAUGUGGGACUGGAUCCCGGGACUCCGGGGUCACGCCCUGGGCCGAAGGCAGGCGCUCUGCCGCUGAGCCCCCCAGGGAUCCCACAGACCCAACCUAGAUACAAGGCUUUCCAGCCCCUGCGCCCUGAGACCGCUCUCGGUCGUCCCGUCAGUGUUCGGGGUGUCCUCAGACUUAGGCGGCGCGUUUACAACCUGAAGGCUUGUGUCCCCGGGCGGCUAAUCGGCCCUCGCGCGGAUUUCCCUGGCCAGCGAGGAGGCUGUACUCGCCCAGACAGAAGACGCUCCUGCCACUGGACGACGGGCAGCCGUCUAGUCCGGCCCGAGAUCCGCCGAGUCAGGCAGAAGGACGCCGGCCUUGGCAGCAAAGGGAAAGGAAAACCAAACGAAAGCGCCUACGCAGUGGCCCUGCUCCGGGCGCCCGUCUGCUCGCUCGAGCAGAAACUACCUGCCUCGCUCUGAGCCGGAGCAUUAACGCACCAACCCCAGGGUUUUACGGAACUGGUCCUUGUUAGCUCGCCUCAUCCUGGAAGUUCUCUCUUUUGCACUAGCCAAGCUCACGAUUAAAAAAGAAAAAAAAAAAAACAACACAUGAAAACGGACACGGGCUUUCUGCCUUUGUUGCCUUCCUCCGGGUCCUGCAGUCCCGCCUGCACCCGCCGCAGCGGUGAGGCCGCCGGCCUUGCCGGAGAACGCGGCCGCCCCACGCGGGUCAGGGCCGGAGGCCACGGGCACCACGUUUCCGCCUUCUGCGUCGCCGACUGCGAAUGAGCAGCGGUUGUGGAGGCAGCAGGUGCAGGGGGAGGUGGCUCCUGCCAGAUGGAGCUAAGAAAAGGCCGGUCCGGUAGGCAGCAGGACUCCCUGAACACGCCCGGAGAGGCCAGGCGGGGAGGCUGCCUUCGGAGCCACAAAUGCUGCCCUUUGUCCGUCCCUUGACCUGGUUUUGAAACAAAACAAAACAAAACAAACCCUGGUUUUGCUUUGAUGGCCAGGAAGGGGGGCUUCCGAGGUGGGGGGGGACCGCCCUCACCUGUGCGCGAGGGUGUCCCAGGGCCCCAAGCGUCCCUGGCCCAGGGGAGAGCCCAGCACGCCCCGGGGCGCCCGCACAGCCCUCGUCCCCUUGCUGGGGACACGCAGCUCCCCCAGGCGCAGGCGGGACCUCCCCGAGCGGCACCGCGGCGGAAACCAGGACGGCGGCUUGUGAGAACCCCGGCCCGGC
rnacentral:lncRNA from 1 species